rnacentral:misc_RNA from 1 species
GGUAGCUCUCAACCGUGGAAUGAGCCAUUACGUUCUCGUCACCUAUCGACAAGCUUUUGCCACGGUUGCCCUCGCUCCUUUCGCCUUCUUCCUUGAAAGGAAAGUGAGACCCAAAGUUAGUUUCCCUAUGUUGAUGCAGAUUUUCCUUCUGGGUUUGUUAGGGCCAGUGAUUGAUCAAAACUUUUAUUAUGCUGGACUGAAGCUCACUUCUCCUACCUUUGCAUGUGCCAUGAGCAAUAUGCUUCCUGCAAUGACAUUCAUCUUGGCUCUUCUUUGUAGGAUGGAGAAAUUGGAGAUGAAGAAAGUGAGAUGCCAAGCAAA